rnacentral:rRNA from 1 species
UUCCGGUUGAUCCUGCCGGACCUGACUGCUAUCGGAUUGAGACUAAGCCAUGCAAGUCUUUGUAGUAAUACAAGGCGUACGGCUCAGUAACGCGUAGUCAACCUACCCUAUGGAUGGGGAUAAUCUCGGGAAACUGAGCAUAAUACCCAAUAGAUCAUCAAUUCUGGAAUGGUUGAUGAUUCAAAUGAUUUUUCGCCAUAGGAUGGGACUGCGGCCUAUCAGCUUGUUGGUGAGGUAAUGGCCCACCAAGGCAAUUACAGGUACGGGCUCUGAGAGGAGAAGCCCGGAGAUGGGUACUGAGACAAGGACCCAGGCCCUAUGGGGCGCAGCAGGCGAGAAAACUUUGCAAUGUGCGAAAGCACGACAAGGUUAAUCCGAGUGAUUUCUGCUAAAGGAAUCUUUUACCAGUUCUAAAAAUACUGGCGAAUAAGGGGUGGGGCAAGUUCUGGUGUCAGCCGCCGCGGUAAAACCAGCACCUCAAGUGGUCAGGAGGAUUAUUGGGCCUAAAGCAUCCGUAGCCGGCUCUGUAAGUUUUCGGUUAAAUCUAUAUGCUCAACGUAUAGGCUGCCGAAAAUACUGCACAGCUAGGGAAUGGGAGAGGUAGACGGUACUCGGUAGGAAGGGGUAAAAUCCUUUGAUCUAUCGAUGACCACCUGUGGCGAAGGCGGUCUACCAGAACAUGUUCGACGGUGAGGGAUGAAAGCUGGGGGAGCAAACCGGAUUAGAUACCCGGGUAGUCCCAGCUGUAAACGAUGCAGACUCGAUAAUGCAUUGGCACAUAGCCAGUGCAGUGUCGCAGGGAAGCCGUUAAGUCUGCCGCCUGGGAAGUACGUACGCAAGUAUGAAACUUAAAGGAAUUGGCGGGGGAGCACCACAAGGGGUGAAGCCUGCGGUUCAAUUGGAUUCAACGCCGGA